rnacentral:rRNA from 1 species
UACGGAGGGUGCAAACGUUGCUCGGAAUCAUUGGGCGUAAAGCGCGUGUAGGCGGUCGCGCAAGUUGGAUGUGAAAGCCCUGGGCUCAACCUGGGAAGUGCAUCCAAAACUGCGUGACUUGAGUCUCGGAGGGGGUCGGAGAAUUCCCGGUGUAGAGGUGAAAUUCGUAGAUAUCGGGAGGAAUAUCAGUGGCGAAGGCGUCGACCUGGACGAUGACUGACGCUGAGACGCGAAAGCGUGGGGAGCAAACAGG